GACGAACGCUAGCGGCGGGCUUAAUACAUGCAAGUUUAGGGGUUCAGCAAUGGACACCGGCGGACGGGUGCGUAACACGUAUGCAACCUGCCCUUUACUGGAGGAUACUCCGGAGAAAUUCGGCACAACACUCCAUAUACUCAUACUUUCGCAUGGGAGAAUGAGGAAAGGUUACGGUAAAGGAUGGGCAUGCGUCUGAUUAGCUAGUUGGCGAGGUAACGGCUCACCAAGGCGACGAUCAGUAGCUGGUCUGAGAGGAUGAUCAGCCACACUGGCACUGAGAUACGGGCCAGACUCCUACGGGAGGCAGCAGUAGGGAAUAUUGGUCAAUGGGCGAAAGCCUGAACCAGCCACGCCGCGUGCAGGAAGAAGGUCCUCUGGAUUGUAAACUGCUUUGCCAAGGGAUAAAGAGAGGCUAUACGCCUAAAUGAAGGUACUUGGUGAAUAAGCACGGCUAACUACGUG
rnacentral:rRNA from 1 species